GGGAGUGUGGCUCAGUGGUAAAGCACUGGCCCGGCACGUACCUGGGUUCAAUUCCUAGCACUGCCC
rnacentral:tRNA from 1 species